rnacentral:rRNA from 1 species
CCUACGGGAGACUGCAGUAGGGAAUAUUGCUCAAUGGGGGAAACCCUGAAGCAGCAACGCCGCGUGGAGGAUGAAGGUUUUCGGAUUGUAAACUCCUUUUGUUAGAGAAGAUAAUGACGGUAUCUAACGAAUAAGCACCGGCUAACUCCGUGCCAGCAGCCUCGGUAAUACGGAGGGUGCAAGCGUUACUCGGAAUCACUGGGCGUAAAGAGCGCGUAGGCGGGAUAGCAAGUCAGAUGUGAAAUCCUAGGGCUUAACCAUAGAACUGCAUUUGAAACUGUUAUUCUAGAGUAUGGGAGAGGUAGGUGGAAGUCUUGGUGUAGGGGGAAAAUCCGUAGAGAUCAAGAGGAAUACUCAUUGCGAGGCGACCUGCUAGAACAUAACUGACGCUGAUGCGCGAAAGCGUGGGGAGCAAACAGGAUUAGAUACCCCUGUAGUC